rnacentral:rRNA from 1 species
GGACGAACGCUGGCGGCGUGCUUAACACAUGCAAGUCGAACGGGAGUAUUGAAGAAGCUUGCUUUAGAGAUACUUUAGUGGCGGACGGGUGAGUAACGCGUGAGGAGCUGUCCUAUGCAGGGGGACAACAGCUGGAAACGGCUGCUAAUACCCCAUAAGCCGAGAGGUAAAAGGAUCAAUCCGGCAGAGGAGGUACUCGCGUCCUAUCAGCUAGUAGGUGAGGUAACGGCUCACCUAGGCGAAGACGGGUAGCCGGCCUGAGAGGGCGAACGGCCACACUGGAACUGAGAUACGGUCCAGACUCCUACGGGAGGCAGCAGUGGGGAAUAUUGGGCAAUGGGGGAAACCCUGACCCAGCGACGCCGCGUGGGUGAAGAAAUCCUUCGGGAUGUAAAGCCCUGUUGUAUGGGAAGAGCGGAAGACGGUACCAUACGAGGAAGCCCCGGCAAACUACGUGCCAGCAGCCGCGGUAAUACGUAGGGGGCAAGCGUUGUCCGGAAUUACUGGGCGUAAAGCGCACGCAGGCUGAAUUAUAAGUCGGUAGUCAAAGGCGGAGGCUCAACCUCUGUAUAUCUAUCGAUACUGUAAAUCUGGAGUAUGUGAGAGGGAAGCGGAAUUCCCGGUGUNNCGGUGAAAUGCGUAGAUAUCGGGAGGAACACCAGUGGCGAAGGCGGCUUCCUGGCACAAUACUGACGCUCAUGUGCGAAAGCUAGGGCAGCGAACGGGAUUAGAUACCCCGGUAGUCCUAGCCGUAAACGAUGGAUACUAGGUGUGGGUGUCGCAGGGCAUCCGUGCCGCAGUUAACGCGUUAAGUAUCCCGCCUGGGGACUACGGUCGCAAGACUGAAACUCAAAGGAAUUGACGGGGGCCCGCACAAGCGGUGGAGCACGUGGUUUAAUUCGAUGCAAACCGAAGAACCUUACCUGGGUUUGACAUGCAGGUGGUAGUGAAAUGAAAGUGGAACGACCUUGCAGCGAUGUAAGGAGCCUGCACAGGUGCUGCAUGGCUGUCGUCAGCUCGUGUCGUGAGAUGUUCGGUUAAGUCCGCUAACGAGCGCAACCCUCGCUGUGUGUUACAAGUGUCACACGGUACUGCCGAUAUUAAGUCGGAGGAAGGUGGGGAUGACGUCAAGUCAGCAUGACCUUUAUAUCCAGGGCUACACACACGCUACAAUGGCCAGUACAAUGGGUUGCCAAGCCGCGAGGCGGAGCCAAUCCUAAAAAGCUGGCCUCAGUUCAGAUUGCAGUCUGCAACUCGACUGCAUGAAGUUGGAGUUGCUAGUAACCGCAGGUCAGCAAUACUGCGGUGAAUACGUUCCCGGGGAU